rnacentral:lncRNA from 1 species
UCGUUGUGACGUUGUGGCCAAUGAAAAGGGGAACCGCCGAACCGGGAAAGGGGGAACUCUGUCUCUACUUAUUGUCUGCCGACUGCGGAGUGUGGACUGCCAUCGUCCGUUGCCAAACCGGAGCUGCCGAGGCACCGAACUGCCGCCUGCCAUUGCCAUCUUUUUCAUCUUCUGUGUAACAGACUAACAGUGUAAGCUUUUCUUUUCUUUCUUCUUCUUUGGAGUAUGUUAUAUACUUAUAUAAUUAAUUUUGUGUAUGUUUAUGUGUUUAAAGUGCUACAGAUUGUAGCUCCAGCCUCCAAGAAGAUAAGAUUUUAAUAUAUGAGUUAUUUUGACUUUUGUGGCUUUUGGACUUUUUUUAAACUGUAUUACUGAAAUGGGGUUUGGGUUUUUUAUUUUUUUAACUGUAUUAUCUCUUGUUAAUCAUCAACAUUCCCUUUAAAUUUUAAUUGGAUUGUUUUGUGGUUUUUGAUUUCAACUCCCAUAGACAGCAGUUUAAAUUUUAAUUGGAUUGUUUAACAGGGAAGCUGAUUGGGUUCGAGCCUUUAAUUUUUCUUCAAAUUUGGACUUCUUAACUUCUUGCAUUCAGAGAACUAAAGGUAUUCAAUCUUAAUAUCUGCAUCUUCUUAAAUAAUUCAGACCCGUAAGAUAGUAGUAUGCUUUAUUUAGCUUUAAUGUGCAUUUGAUUUUUAAUGAACUAGGGGUAGUAUACAUUAUCAUACCAAACGUAGGGGAAUAUGGAAAACUUUUUCUGAAAUUUGUUUUCUUGAAAUAAAUAGAGCCUAAGAUUUUGCAUUUGAUAUUAUGAUUCAAAAUGUUAGAGAGAUUGGACCACGACACAAGUGCAAUUCAGACCAAUAUCUUAUAAGCCACAAUGGAAAGUCAAGGAAGCAAGAGAGAAAAAACUUUGUUUUCUUUCUUUAAACCAAGAGAAAGUGCUUCAACGACAACUAGUGAAGGGCAUUCUCCAUCUAAUGUUGAUAUCUCAGAUCACCAACCACCCCUUUCUAUAUCUCGAAGAGUUGAAAUUGAUCUUAGUACUCUUGAACGGGAUCCUGGGAUUCGGAUCCCUAUAUGGCAACAUCCUGUUAAUCAACGAGAUGAAAUAAAGAGAGCUUAUAUCAAAAUGGGUUCGUAUCAACCUAAGCUGGCAGAGUACCCAAGGACUAAAUUAGGCUCACAAAAUUGAAAAUUGCAAUAUUCGUGGUUUGAAUCCUUUCCUUGGUUAGAGUACUCUCCAUCAAAGGAUGCAGCAUUUUGUUUUCUAAGCUUUGUUUUUCAAAAUAAGGUGCCUCUUCAUCCUGCAUUCAUUACUGAAGGGUUUAAUAGUUGGAAGAGGGUUAAUGAUGGAGUUAGAUGUGCACUUUUGAUGCAUGUGGGAGGUCCUACUUCACCACAUAGGAAUGCAGUGAAAUGUGUUGAANNNNNNNNNNNNNNNNNNNNNNNNNNNNNNNNNNNNNNNNNNNNNNNNNNNNNNNNNNNNNNNNNNNNNNNNNNNNNNNNNNNNNNNNNNNNNNNNNNNNNNNNNNNNNNNNNNNNNNNNNNNNNNNNNNNNNNNNNAUUGGUGAUGUAGUCUUAGAGAAAGCUCCGAAAAAUGCUCAAUAUACUUCACCCACUAUUCAGAAAGAAAUUUUGCAUAUUAUUGCAAACAAAGUUAGAAGAAAAAUUCGUGAAGAAGUUGGAGAUGCAAAGUUCUGUAUUUUGGUUGAUGAAGCCAAAGAUGCAUCAAAUAAAGAGCAGAUGGCUAUUUUUUUGAGAUAUGUUGAGAACCAUGGUUUCUUACGAGAGCGUUAUUUUGAGAUUGUGCAUGUUUUAGACACUACUGCUUCAACAUUAAAGAAAGAAAUAUCUAAUGUCAUUGCUCGAGCUAAUUUGCAUAUCCUUAAUCUGCGAGGUCAAGGGUAUGAUGGUGCUAGUAAUAUACGCGGUGCUUGGAACGUACUUCAAGCUCUAUUUCUUAAAGAUUGUCCAUACGCAUAUUAUGUACAUUUCUUUGCUCACAGACUACAAUUAGCAUUAGUUGCAGCUUCUUCAGAAGAGAUUUCUGUUUGGCAUUUUUUUUGAAACUAACAACCAUUAUCAAUCUCAUUGGUGCUUCUCCCAAACGGCAUACUGAGUUACAUUCUGCUCAAGCUAUUGAAAUUGCACGUAUGGUAGCUUCUGGUGAACGUGAUACUGGUAGAGGCCUUAAUCAGAUUGGUAAUCUACAUCGGAGUGGAACUACUCAGUUGAGCUCUCAUUUUGAUUCUAUUUGCAGCUUAAUUGAUAUGUAUGGUGCAACUAUUUCAAUGCUUGAAAGUAUUGUUGAAGAAUGAUCCUCUAACUCUAUGCGUGGAGAAGCUGGUUGUUGUUUGAUUAUAAUGAGGUCUUUUGAUUUUAUUUUCAUUCUAUAUAUGAUGCAUAAAAUUAUGGGGAUUACUGAUUUGCUUUGUAGAGCUUUGCAGCACAAAUCUCUUGACAUUGUAAAUGCCAUGGAUCUAGUCUCAACUACUAAAGCACUACUUCACACUUUGAGAGAAGAGGGAUUUGAUCAUCUCCUUAAGCAUGUGCAAUCAGUUUGCACACAAAAUGACAUUGACAUACCAGAUAUGAAUGCUUCAUUCAAAAAGGCUACCGGUCAUUCAUGCCAACAAAAAGAAUCGAUGACAGUUUGCCAACACUAUCAUUUUGAUGUGUUUAAUUCAGCAAUAGAUUUUCAGCAGGAAGAGUUGAAUUCCAGAUUUAGUGAUGAAGCAGUGGAACUCCUUAUACUUAGCUCAGCUUUAGAACCGAAGGACAACUUUAAAUCAUUCAAAGUUGAUGAUAUUUGCAUGCUUGCUGAGAAAUUUUAUCCAGAAGAUUUCAGUGAGCAAGAAAUGCAUUAUUUGAGAUGUCAACUAAAUCAUUAUAAAAUUGAUGUGCUCCGUCAUCAGAGCUUUCAAAAUAUGUCUACCAUCACUGAAUUGUGUCGCGGAUUAGUUGAAACAAAUAAGUUGCAGACUUAUAAUUUGAUUGAUAGAUUGAUUCAUCUUGUUUUGAUUCUACCUGUUUCCACAGCCACGACAGAACGAGUAUUUUCAGCUAUGAAACAUGUUAAAAAUGCUCUUCGCAAUAAAAUGGAAGAGGAGUUUUUAGCAGAUUCUAUGAUGAUUUACAUUGAAUGAGAGCUUCUUGAAGAUAUCGAUUCAUAUUCCAUAAUAGACGAAUUCUAUUCUACAAAGCAUAGAAGGAUUCAGCUUAAAUAGUGUGUUUUAUUUUCCUUUUUCCUUGCAUGUUAUGUACCUUUGAACCCUACUACUAUGUAUGAUUUUGAAUUUGUGAUUGAUCUUGGUGGGACAAUUUUUUGUGGAUAUAAUUGGUACUUAGCCUAGUAGAAAUUUAAUUCCUGGCUCCGCCCUUGCUACUUGGUCUGCUGCAACAAAUAAUCAGUUGUCUUUCCAGGAAGUUAGUUCAGGUGAGAUCAUAAGCAUUGGCUUUUUUAGUGGGGAUCACGGCGAUGGUAUCCCAUUUGAUGGACCCGGAAGAGUCCUAGCUCAUAGUUUUUUCCCACAGUUUGGAGGAGAUUUACAUUUUGAUGCGACCGAGAAUUGGUCCACUGCUGAUCCAUCUCCUCAAGGUUCUAUCGACAUAGAAAGUAUCGCCUUGCAUGAAUUAGGGCACACGCUUGGACUUCUACAUAGCGAUUCGGGAACAGUCAUGCAACCAGGAUAUUAUGGAGGAAGAUUCACAACACUAACUCCUGAUUAUAUUAGUGGAAUCAGAACUUUAUGUGUAACACCCCCUUCCCGAAAAAAAAAGGGAGGUCACGUGCAAAGCACAACAAACCUCAAAAAUAAGAAAAUAGAGCACUAAUAACCUCAAAAUAUUAAUAGUGGUGAUCCAUUAAUAGCGUACUAAAUACAAUUCUCCAAAUAGAGUCAAAAUAAUCAAAACUUAAAAUUCGAAAAAACUUAGAUGGUCAAAGGCAACUCUCUCAUUACACUAGCCCUGAAUCACCCCCUGCAAACCUGCCGGAAGAAAAACACAGCAUGAGCCAAUUGCCCAGUACGGAUACAGAUAUACAACUGAUAUACGAAAACAACUGAGACAAAAUACUGAACAAAGCCUCAAGUGUAAAUACCGACAAAAAUAUAAUCUUCAAAGAUCUGAAUGGAAUAUAUCUGAAUCAACAGAAGAGUAAAGAAAUAACGAACUAAAGUAACUAACUCAAUGAAUUAAACUGAACAGAAAUAAAUAAAACUAAUACAAUAAAAUAAUAUGCUGAAUCAAAUGGUUGUGUAUUAUUUCAUACCGAGUGAGCUCAGAAACAUACGUUGCCACACAGGCAAGUCAAAACAAUGCCACAUAGGCAAGUCAAAAUAAUGCCACACAGGCAAGUCAAAUGAUGCCACACAGGCAACCAAAAUAAUUCCACACAGGCAAAUCACACAUUGGACCGCGAAUCCAAAUGUAUGCAAAUCAGAUAGGUGUGUUUGGCACAACAUCACCAAUCCGCAGAACAGAAAACUAGGGUUAACCCAUACGCCUCGCACAACAAAACACCAAAUGGCCCACUUCUUCCAGAGCCCAAAACGGAGACGCCGUAGACUAAUCACACUGCCACGGAAAGUGUUAUGCCUCUCGUUACAAGACGACAUGCCUGUGGUACCCCCACAGGUGGUUAUAGCUCAGGUAUACCCUACGGUAUAUUCUAACAAAAUACCAUGUCACAACACAUGCGACAUAAUACCAACAAAAAGGUUCUAUAUGUACAUGUUGAACCAAAUCAAAUUAUAGUCACAAGGUCUCAAAAAGAAGGUAGCAACAUGUACCGCUCUACAAUUAUCUAAAAUAAAUACUAAACAUGAUAUCCUAAUUCAAAGAGUACAAAUACGAGUCAUGUGUAUCAACUCCAAAAUGAAACUAAUAUAUUUAUUUCACAUGAAACAAUUAUGUGAAAUCAUAACAUAAUUCGAAAUAAAGAAACAAACGAACAAAUCAAAUUUAACAAGAGUAUCGCUGAAAGAGUACGGAAUCCGUACCUGAUACUUCCAAACCAUUUAUAGCACACUCCACAAAAUCUUACCCUCAAAUGCCAACGAUAUCAAAUACGAAACGUUAUUCACCACCUAAACAUAUUCACCUCAAAUUAAAAAUAAUCCAAACUAAUAAUUCCAAAAUAAUUCAUAGUCUAUUUAAUAUGCCUUUAAUCAUCGCUUUAUAUCAAUUAUUAAUACUCCAAAAUUUAUAUUCCAAAUAUAACUCGUUAAGUUUCUUCCGUCCGAGCUAAUUACACAAAUUAACAUAAAUAAAUUAAUAACAGUAUAUUAAAUUCAUAAUUAAUAAUUUCCCCUUUUCCAUGAUUUGUUAUUACUAUUAUUAUUAUUAAUAUUAAUAUUAAUAUUAUAAAAUAAUAUGAGCUUCAUGUUCGUUAUAUACAAAGUACAUCAAGAUUCAUACUAACUUCUGUUCCAAAAAUAAUAUAUAUAAUAUAAUAUAGACUCAUUCUUUAUGUAUACUAUACAUCCCCACUGCUUCAUAACAGUGACCUUAAGCCAUGCCACAAUUUUUUUUUUUUAACUCUUUAUGUCAGCUUCAUUCAAAACCAUUCUUAUAUAUACACACAUAUAAUAAUAAUAUUAAUAAUUCUCCAUAUUGUAUAUUUAUUCCAGAUAUAUAAUAGAAUUAAUUCUCACCAUUCUAUAUGUUGACACAUAACUAUCAAAAUAAGAAUACAACUUUAACGUUUUCAUUAUCACAAGAAAUCCCUCUUAUUAUUAUUGACCUCAACUAUUUUUAUUUACAAUCCAUUCACAACAACCAUGAAUUGAAGGAGCAACUUACCUCAAAAUAAUCAACAACUGAAAUAUAAGUUGUUCUCCUUUGCGGCUCCCUUUCCGUUCUCUCCCCUCAAUUAGUUUGUAUAGUGAAAUAAAAUUAGGUCUAACUAUUUAUCAAUUAAAAGGGUCUUACCCUAAUGAACUUCUAAUUGAGUUCAAUUAAAUAUUAAGGCCCAAAUAUAUUACCAAAUUAAAUUAUCUAUCACUUAUUAAUUUAUUAGCUCACAUAAAUUAAAUAAUUAAUUUGACCCAAUAAAUAACAAAGUCCAAACAAUAUGUUUUAAGAAUAUAAAUUUAAUAUUAUUAUUUUUUUCGGGAUAUUACAUUAUCUCCCCCUUAAAAAUGAUUCCGUCCCCGGAAUCAAAAGAAUGAAUGUACUUAUUUAUCAAAAGACGCGGAUACUCCGCUCGAAUAGACUCCUCUAUCUCCCAAGUACUUUCCCGCUCCGAAUGAUUUUACCACAAGACUUUAACAAAAGAAAUUAUCUUCCUCAAUUUUAAUUUAAUCAGUUAUUUAAUUAUCUGCUAAAAGAAUUUAAUUUUCCAAACAAAACAAGGAAGAAAAGAGGAAACAAAAUCAUUUACCUUUUCCAAUUUAAAUACAAUUGUAUAAGAUAAAAUCAAUUAAUAUUUAAUUUUUAAAAAAAAUAUGGGUUAUUACAAUAUGGCUCCAAAACAAGGAGCUAGUAAUACGUAUCGGAGCCUUCAUUUACAUGUCGAUGUCAGACACCGACUGUAAUACCCAGUAAAAUAAUAAAUAAAUAAAUGGCCUUCAAUUUCAUUUUUUAAUAUUUUAAUUUGGGCUUUCUUAUGUUUGGGUAAAACAUUGUUUUAAUUUAUGUGGACUAAAAAUAAGUAAGAGAUUUCAUUAAAUUGGGCCUUAAAAUUUGAUUGAGUUUAAUUUAUAUGUGGGUAAUAUCUAAUCCUAUUAAAAUUUGAAAAAAAAUAAAAAUAAUUAAAUAAAUAAAAUAUAAUAAUAAUAAUAAUAAAAUUAAAAUUAAAAAAAAUAAUAACUUAAAACCCUAUACGUUGUACGCUACUUGAUUAGUUUGAUAAAAGAAAUAGAGAGGAAGAGAGAAGCGGCGGCCACAGUACUAGAAGGAAAAAGAAAAGUGAAGCUUUGUUUCAAUAGGUAAAUUAAUUAAACCUUUUAUUAAUUUUGUCAAUCAUAUAGAUUAUGAGUAGGAUCUGUUGGAUAUAUUUUUUUUUUGUUUGUUUGCUAUGUAAGAUAUGUAAACAUAGAUCAGUACAAUUAAAGGAAGGGUAUAGAUUUGAAUUUCGUGCACCUAUAUAUGAUUAUUAUAUUAUUAUUAUUUUUCACCAAACCUUAUUAUUGCUAUUGUUGGAUUACAAAUAGUAGAAGUAUUGGCUUUGCUGAAAUUGUUUAAGGUUUUAUAUAUGUUAUAUGAAUUAAAAUUUAUAUUGUUAUUUAUUAAUAAAAUAUGCAUACUUUAUAUUAAAUGUAAUCAUAGGCAAAAACAUGAAGACUUGAGUUAUUAAUAAUAUGGGAUGCAAAGAAGAAAAAAAAAAGAGUCAGUGGUCGGUAAAGUUAUAUGUAUAAUAUUUUAGUAAUUAAUUAAUGAUUAAACUUAUAAACUGUUUUGAGAUUAUUAUUUUAUAUAUUAAAUCAGAUUGAAUCAUUUUGCUAUUAAAAGUUAUAACAGUUAAUUAAUAAUAAAUUUACCGGUAUCAUUUUAUUAAUGAUUAGAUUUGUAAUAAAGUUUAUUUUAUUUUAUUAGAUCGACUUGGAGGAGAUUAGCAUAAUCUUAUUUAAAUUUUGGAUAUUACAUUGCUUAAUCCAGGUACGGAUUCCGUACUCUUUCAGCGAGACUCUUUUAUUUUUAAUUUGUUCGUUUCGUUAUUUGUUUCGAAAUUUAGUUUGUCUCUCAUAAUUGUUCCUUCUUAAAUUCGUGAGAAUGGUUCAUUUUGGCAUUAGUAUUUGUACUCGUUGGUCUAGUGUGUCAUGGUUAAUAUUUAUUUUGAUCUUUGUAGAAAGUACAUAUUAAUAUAUUUGGAGACUUUGUGUUGAUAUUUCAUUUCAGUUUAACAUGUACAUGUUAGAACCCCUUUGUUGUGUCGCAUGUGUUGUGACAUUCUAUUUAGUUAGAAUAUCGUAGGGUAUACUUGAGCUAUAACCACCUGUGGGGGUACCACAGGCAUGUCCUCUUGGCACCGAGGCAUGACACCUUCCGUGGCGGUGUGAUCAGUCCACGGCGUCUCCGUUUUGUGCUCCGUUGAGAGUUGGCCAUUUGGUAUUUUGUUGUGGGAGGCGUAUGGGUCGACCCUAGUUUUCUGUUAUAUUCUGUUCUGCGGAUUGGUGAUGUUUGUGCCAAACACGCCUUCCGAUUUUACAUACAUUGGAUUCGCGGUCCAAUGUGUGUGAUUUGCCUGUGUGACAUUAUUUGACUUGCCUGUGUGGUAAAGUAUAUUAUUAUUUAUUUUGAGCUCGGUAUGAAAUAACACCUAGCCAUUUGAUUCAGCCUAUCAUUUAAUUGCGUUAGUUUUGAUCGUUUCAUUUCAGUUCGUCUCUUUUCAUUUAAUUGAGUUAGUUAUUUCGGUCCAUUAUUUGUAUUCUAUAUCCGUAUUGGGCGUUUGGCUCAUGCUGUGUUUUCUUCCGGCAGGUAAUCAGGGGAAUCAAGGGCAAGUGUGAUGAGAGCUCCAUUCAUUCCAAUGAUUUAAAAAUAUUAUGUUUAGACUUGAUGUGUCAGUUUACUUGGAAUUGUAAUAAUUAUUUCAGAUUGUGGUUUGAGCCAGUGUGACAUUUAUUAUGGUUUGUCUUAAGACAUUUAAUUAGUUUAAGACUAUUCUUUUGUGGAUUAGAGCCUUGCUAUUAAAUUCAUCAGUUUUGUUAUGUUUUGAGUAACCUCUCUUUCUAUUUCAGAAAGGGGGUGUUACAGAGUUGGUAUCAAAG